UACAUCGAUAUUCGUCAGACAAUAAUGUUGAUGCAGACAAAGAACACACUAACAUUUCGUAGUUUCGAAAUAUAAAUGUAUAUGAUUAAACAUAUCUUUUGAAGCACAAAUCAAAGGAAUACAAGCUACUUGAAGUUUGAUCGGAUCAGAUCAACAUGAAUUGCAAGGUGAUGUUUUUGUCUGAAUUGGUGAUUUUGUUCUGCCUUAUUGGUCAAGGUCUACAAUUCAAGCUUAUCGUUUCAACUUAUGGUAAGAUUAAAGAAGUAAACUUGCAGACUAGGGCCGUCACACAUCUUUUGACCGAUCUGGGAAGUGAAAUUAAUUCUAUGGAUUAUGAUUAUGAAAAUGAAUACAUUUAUUUUCCAAGAUACAGUAAAAACGACAUUUUAAGAUUUCAUUAUCCAUCAAACUAUACGUACCAGACAGAAAAUGUCACAAUGGCAAAUAACCCUAUAGGUAUAGCAAUUGACCCGGUAUACAACCAUGUGUAUUGGAUAGAACGAUAUACGGGAAAGCUUUAUCAGAGUAAUAUGGAUGGGUCAAAUCAAUUGUUAAUAUUACAGGAUGAUCCAAUGUUUGCUUUAACAUUAGAUGUUAC